GGGCUGGACCUCUCGGGGUUACAGCCUUGCUGAAUUAUUCACCCUUGUCUUUUGCGUACUUCUUGUUUCCUUGGUGGGUUCGCCCACCACUAGGACAAACAUAAACCUUUUGUAAUUGCAAUCAGCGUCAGUAACAAAUUAAUAAUUACAACUUUCAACAACGGAUCUCUUGGUUCUGGCAUCGAUGAAGAACGCAGCGAAAUGCGAUAAGUAGUGUGAAUUGCAGAAUUCAGUGAAUCAUCGAAUCUUUGAACGCACAUUGCGCCCUUUGGUAUUCCAAAGGGCAUGCCUGUUCGAGCGUCAUUUGUACCCUCAAGCUUUGCUUGGUGUUGGGCGUCUUGUCUCUAGCUUUGCUGGAGACUCGCCUUAAAGUAAUUGGCAGCCGGCCUACUGGUUUCGGAGCGCAGCACAAGUCGCACUCUCUAUCAGCAAAGGUCUAGCAUCCAUUAAGCCUUUUUUUCAACUUUUGACCUCGGAUCAGGUAGGGAUACCCGCUGAACUUAAGCAUAUCAAUAGGCGGAGGAAA
rnacentral:rRNA from 1 species